UUUUGUUCCAGUUUGUAAUGUCAGUAGGGUCAUUUGCUCCGCUGUAAGAGACAACAAUGGCCAACUGCUGCUAGGGGUCAUCAGAAGGAGUAUCGAUUAAUCCUCCCACAGACUACAUAGAUAGGACACUCCCUCCUCUGGCGUGAUGGUUCCGUACUUCACCAUCAUCUUCACAAAGUCAAUCAGCGUCUUCAUGAUGGUGAUCAAUGUCUCUCUCUCCUGAUUGUCUCGAUCUGCAACAGCAAACCAGACACAUUCAAAACCAACAUCUAUCAUCGAUGUUUUGUUAAUGGAAGAUGUGUUGUGGAAACAAACAAAAAAAAAUCAUCGACUCAUCCUUAAGAACAAUAUCUCCAUGACAACAACAGCUCUCUAGUCCUGUUCUUGAUCUGAAGAACUUCUAUUGUUGGAUGAAGGAUGCUGUGAAGUGUCGACUAUUGUGCCUCUGAUCUAAAAUGUCACAGCCAGCUCGAUGUGUGUUUGGCGUUUUUACCUGAGUCGAGGCUCCUGAGCAGACGGUAGAAGUUUGGGAAGUACUGCAGGUCCUGGAGCCCAUCUUCAGGGCUCACCUCAUUGCCCUCCUCUGUAUCUUUGUCCCAGCUGUUGUCGACUGUGUCGCCCUCCUCUUCUUCUGCAUCCCUCUCCACCUCAUCCUCAAUCUCGUCAUCAUCUUCUUCCUCAUUGUCCUCGUCUUCCUUAUAGCGGCGGCUGGGUGGCUCCCAUGUGUCCUGGAAAUGCCAGAGUGUUGGUUGUUACUGUUAUCAUCCUUUUUGUUAUCACUGUUGCCGUUACUAUCACUUCUUUGCAGGUUUUACCGUGUUUGUGUCUGAACCCUGGUCGUCCUGCUCUCCCCUGGUUUCUUGGUCGUUGCUCUCAAUGUCCUCAAUCUCGUUGUUCUUGGCAUUUUUGGUGAUGAGAUCCUGGAGCGCCUCAGCCACCUGGUACUCCAGAGUAUCCGCUUGACUAUCUGUGAUCUACAGAGAGACAAAGGAAAAAGAGACAGACUGAGAACAAUUGCAUGCAAUAACAAAUGUGCUGUGAGAUGUGAUAAACCUUUAUGUAGCUCAUAUUGAUCACUGAGAGAUUCAUCUCAGGGAGCCAUUUGGGCACUGCCAAACUACUUAUUGAGUGCCAAAAAAGUAAUUCACAACCAAAAUGAACAGAGCACAAUUCACACAUCUCUUCCUGUUUCGGUGAGGAAGCAAGCAGUGCAGAGAAAGAGAGAUUCCUGUUGAGAAAAUGUCAUGCUGCAUGCUGUGUGGAAUUGAACAGCAUGCGAGAGAACAAGCUCAUGACCUACCAGCCCCAGUUUGAGCAGUUUGGAGACGAUCCUGUCGAACACCCCUCUGUCGUCCUCCUCGUAGAUCUUGUUUGCGAUCUUCUGGACAAUGUCUUCUGCUGUCAGUGGAGUGCCGUCGACCUGACGGAAGCUUUCUGGGUCAUCUGAGAUUGGACAACACAUAUGGUGUCAUUUGUAACUUUAUAAAUAUGCUUACUAGCUGUGUGCAGGCAUAAAGCAGGUGUC